rnacentral:lncRNA from 1 species
AGAUUUGGACAAAGAGUUCUUUAAUUGUAUGAGCCAGUGAAAAACACAACUCCUUUAGCAGUGGGUAACAUCUUCUACAUCUUUGUCGUAAACCUCUUCCGUAUCUAUGCCUAAUGGAGAUAGUAACAUUUCUUUGCUCCAAUGGAACGAAACACAUGGGAUAUCCACGAAGAGGCUGGUUCAUAUGCAUAAAUUGUGGCCCCAAGUUUGGAAAAGAGAACAUUUUAGGGAUGACCCAUGUUUUGUUGUGAGUGGUUUACCCGUGAAGUAGUAGUGGAUAUAGUGGUGGAUAUAGUGGUGGAUAUAGUGGUGGAUAUAGUGGUGGAUAUAGUGGUGGAUAUAGUGGUGGAUAUAGUGGUGGAUAUAGUGGUGGAUAUAGUGGUGGAUAUAGUGGUGGUUAGCUUUGUUAUUGGUAUGGAAAGUGGUGUCUGAAACUCGUCCAUUGUAGGAAUGAAUGAAGUGAGGCUUUCAGGAUUUUUGUUUAGUAAAGUGAGAGUGAAAGUUUAUCAAGGUAGUAUAAAAAGGGGUUGAGGCAAUGGAACAAACACAAGAUUUAAGGUGAUUAAGACAAAUACUUCAAAAGAAAUUGGUAUGAAGGAAAAUUAAGAUGAGAAUUGAGAAUAGGAAAGAGACUCCAUUCUAUGAUACCAUGGGAUGUAACAAUAUCAAGAGGAAUAGUUCAUUUGAUCCAUUUGAGGUAGAGAUGUUGAUGUGGGUGACAUGGAUUAAAGUGGAAGCCAAGCAAGAAUGAUGGUGGCACCAUACGAGGACUGCUGAAAAGAAGAGAAUCCCCCAUUUCAUUAUGCGUUAGACUUUUUUAGUAGAAGAUACACAUUACUUCUACUUGAAGAUGGGAUCUGCCACAAACUCAUAGCAACCAAAUAUAUUUAUAAAGUUGUCUCUUUUUCUUUUUUGUAAUUUCGUGACAUUAAGAAGGUGAAGUAGGUAACAUCUUCUAAAUCUUCCCCCUCUCUUUUUGUAACAGUGUAAGAUUAAAUGAGACACUUCUCUUUCCUCUAGAAACUGUCCCCUCAAGAUUAAUAUAGGUGUGGCAUGUACAUGUCAAAGAAAAUGUUCCAUCUGGUGAUGAAAA